rnacentral:lncRNA from 1 species
GACAAAGGCGUGAAAAAAUUAAAAGGGUCGGAGAGCGUCGUUUUUCUUGAAGAAAAAUCCAGCAAAAACUAAAUAAGGUAAAAUUUCUUUCCCCUACAUUGGUUUUUUAAUAUCUCAUUUAAAUUGCUUAAAAAAAUUAAGUCAAAAAUUACCAAAAAAUAGGAAAUGAUUCAAUGAUUCCAUUUCGUCUUGAAUUUUUUAUAUGUUGUCGAUAUAUGGACAAUGUUAAUGGUGACAUUAACUUUUGUUUUUACAAAAUUUAUAUAAUUUAUAAUUUAAUUAAAAAAUUUAAAAAAUAAUUUUUAAUUAAAAAAAUAGAAAUUGAAAAAAAUUAAUAUGGUCGUAGGAAUGGAGCCAUCAAGGAGAGGGCAACCCCAAGAGCGUAAUAUUGGCUGGGAGCACGGGAAGAUGCUCGGUGAACGGCACCAGUUUCAGUGCAAUUAUUGCCACAAGUGCUUCAAAGGAGGAGGGGUAACCAGAUUAAAGCAGCACUUAGCUGGUAAUUCUCGUGAGAUAUCUGCAUGCUCAGAGUGCCCACCGAGCACCCAUCAGCUGAUC